rnacentral:lncRNA from 1 species
AGCCAUGAGCCAAUGGGGAUUAUUUCUUAUAUGCAUACUAGGAGGCUUAUUUCAAAGGGUUGUGAGUCUCAUCUUGCUUAUUCUUGUGAUGUUAGUGUGGAGAGUUCGUUGCUUCACUUUGUUCCUAUAGUUCAUGAGUUUCCUAAUGGUUUACCUAAGGAUCUACCUGGCCUUCCUCUUGAUCAUAGUGUUGAGUUUGUUAUUGAUUUUGAGCCG